rnacentral:rRNA from 1 species
CAGAUGAGGAGCUUGCUCCUCUGACGUUAGCGGCGGACGGGUGAGUAACACGUGGAUAACCUACCUAUAAGACUGGGAUAACUUCGGGAAACCGGAGCUAAUACCGGAUAAUAUAUUGAACCGCAUGGUUCAAUAGUGAAAGACGGUUUUGCUGUCACUUAUAGAUGGAUCCGCGCCGCAUUAGCUAGUUGGUAAGGUAACGGCUUACCAAGGCAACGAUGCGUAGCCGACCUGAGAGGGUGAUCGGCCACACUGGAACUGAGACACGGUCCAGACUCCUACGGGAGGCAGCAGUAGGGAAUCUUCCGCAAUGGGCGAAAGCCUGACGGAGCAACGCCGCGUGAGUGAUGAAGGUCUUCGGAUCGUAAAACUCUGUUAUUAGGGAAGAACAAAUGUGUAAGUAACUAUGCACGUCUUGACGGUACCUAAUCAGAAAGCCACGGCUAACUACGUGCCAGCAGCCGCGGUAAUACGUAGGUGGCAAGCGUUAUCCGGAAUUAUUGGGCGUAAAGCGCGCGUAGGCGGUUUUUUAAGUCUGAUGUGAAAGCCCACGGCUCAACCGUGGAGGGUCAUUGGAAACUGGAAAACUUGAGUGCAGAAGAGGAAAGUGGAAUUCCAUGUGUAGCGGUGAAAUGCGCAGAGAUAUGGAGGAACACCAGUGGCGAAGGCGACUUUCUGGUCUGUAACUGACGCUGAUGUGCGAAAGCGUGGGGAUCAAACAGGAUUAGAUACCCUGGUAGUCCACGCCGUAAACGAUGAGUGCUAAGUGUUAGGGGGUUUCCGCCCCUUAGUGCUGCAGCUAACGCAUUAAGCACUCCGCCUGGGGAGUACGACCGCAAGUGAA